CGGGACUGGUGAGUAACGCGUGAGGAACCUGCCUUCCAGAGGGGGACAACAGUUGGAAACGACUGCUAAUACCGCAUGAAACAUUUGAAUCGCAUGGUUUGAAUGUCAAAGAUUUAUCGCUGGAAGAUGGCCUCGCGUCUGAUUAGCUAGUAGGCGGGGUAACGGCCCACCUAGGCGACGAUCAGUAGCCGGCCUGAGAGGGUGAACGGCCACAUUGGGACUGAGACACGGCCCAAACUCCUACGGGAGGCAGCAG
rnacentral:rRNA from 1 species